rnacentral:rRNA from 1 species
GAUGAACGCUGGCGGCGUGCCUAAUACAUGCAAGUCGAGCGAACGGACGAGAAGCUUGCUUCUCUGAUGUUAGCGGCGGACGGGUGAGUAACACGUGGAUAACCUACCUAUAAGACUGGGAUAACUUCGGGAAACCGUAGCUAAUACCGGAUAAUAUUUUGAACCGCAUGGUUCAAAAGUGAAAGACGGUCUUGCUGUCACUUAUAGAUGGAUCCGCGCUGCAUUAGCUAGUUGGUAAGGUAACGGCUUACCAAGGCAACGAUGCAUAGCCGACCUGAGAGGGUGAUCGGCCACACUAGAACUGAGACACGGUACAGACUCCUACGGGAGGCAGCAGUAGGGAAUCUUCCGCAAUGGGCGAAAGCCUGACGGAGCAACGCCGCGUGAGUGAUGAAGGUCUUCGGAUCGUAAAACUAUGUUAUUAGGGAAGAACAUAUGUGUAAGUAACUGUGCACAUCUUGACGGUACCUAAUCAGAAAGCCACGGCUAACUACGU